UACGUAGGCAGCGAGCGUUGUUCGGAGUUACUGGGCGUAAAGCGUGCGUAGGCGGUGUCUUAAGUUUGUUGUGAAAUCUCCCGGCUUAACCGGGAGGGUGCGGCGAAUACUGAGAUGCUGGAGUGCCGGAGAGGUAAGCGGAAUUCCUGGUGUAGCGGUGAAAUGCGUAGAUAUCAGGAGGAACACCAGUGGCGAAGGCGACUUACUGGACACAUAUUGACGCUGAGGUGCGAAAGCGUGGGGAGCAAACAGG
rnacentral:rRNA from 1 species